rnacentral:tRNA from 1 species
CAUUAAGAAGCUAAUCAGCGUUAACCUUUUAAGUUAAAGAUUGAGGAAACAGACAACCCUCCUUAAUGA